rnacentral:rRNA from 1 species
ACGUAGGGGGCAAGCGUUAUCCGGAAUCAUUGGGCGUAAAGGGUGCGUAGGCGGCCCUAUGGGUCAGAGGUUAAAGGCUACGGCUCAACCGUAGUAAGCCUUUGAAACUGUAGGGCUUGAGUGCAGGAGAGGAGAGUGGAAUUCCUAGUGUAGCGGUGAAAUGCGUAGAUAUUAGGAGGAACACCAGUGGCGAAGGCGACUCUCUGGACUGCAACUGACGCUGGGGCACGAAAGCGUGGGUAGCGAACGGGA